rnacentral:lncRNA from 1 species
CACAGGCUUGCUGGUGGCAUCCCGCACAGACACUCUCUCCUCACAGCUCCCACCACGGGGACUGGAGGCAGGAGGAGCCGACGGGCCCCUGGAACGGCCGCGGUGCGUCCAGAGGUGGGAGCCGCAAGCCCGAGGAUCGGCCGAGUCCCAGGGGACCCUAACGGAGGCCGGGCUGGAAGGCCAAGGUGGCUGCCACGUGGGAAGGUAUCCUUGACGUCCAGACAUGAUGCUACUGCAGACAUAAGAGACUGCAGACAUAGCAUGAAGCUAGCUUUUCCAUGCACUGGAACCAGCCAGUACUCACCAGGUUGAGCUGGUCUGGAGCUGAACCCAGCUUCUCCGAGGUCGGCCCGUGGUAGAUGCUCCUUAUCCGUUUCCCUGAAGCGACCAAGCACAGCACGAGAGCCCAAGGCCCCCAUGCAGAUAAUGGACAAAGGCAGGACUUCGUGUUAGUGGCCCACCUUCCUCUUCCUCGACGGUGGCUCCAGCCCCUUCAUGUCGCCUCCAAGCUCCUGCCCAAGUGUUCCCACCCGCACUGCUGGGAGCAGCUCCUCUGUGUUUUCAGGGCCACUUUGCUGUCGUCCUUUGAAGGUUCUCUUGGCGACUCUAGGAAGACUCCGUGGUACAGGUGACCUUCUGUAUCUGUGGAGGAUCGGUUCCCAGAUACCCCCGCCCACGGAUCCCAAAAUCCCAGGAGCCAAGCCUUGUCUAAAGUGCCGGAGUGCAGCCUGGCCUCCAGAACGCGUGAGAACAGAGCAGCCGUACUCUGUUUCCAACGACCGAUGGCCAAAGCCCCGCUGUGCGUGUUCUCUAUGGACUGAACAGCCAGUGGCCCUGUAGCAGUGAAGCCUCACACCGUCCUCCAGGCUGGAAGGGACCCUUGAGUCACAGAACUUGCCAGUUUGCAAACAUGUCUCUAGUUGUAACAACUUUCAUCUGUCAAAUGAGGGCUCUUCAUUUCUAAGGUUCUAGAAGCCGGCCGUGGUCAUAUAGUCCCUCAGCUGGGUGUACUGAAAUCUGGGCCAGAGGCACAGCUUCCUCGCUAAGACACCCCCCCACCCCAGCACCCUGCACACACACACAGGCAGAGGCCAAGCUGCCUGCCUCCCCGCACCCCCUAGAAUGCUAACCACUGGGGACCGAGGGGUAGUUCCUACCUUUUAUAUCCUUACAUACUGAAUCUGGCGCUGGCUCCUGGGCUGCAUCUUCUUAACUGCAAACACUCUAUACCAUCCCUCUCUGGUUCCACCAGCCACCACCCUCCUUCCGUGUCCUCCUCUGAACGUGCCUGAUAAAGGCUUUUGAGUGACUGAAUGAGUGGACGGCUCCCAUCUUCUGUCAUCUCAAUGAGUGCUGCUCCCCAGCUGACUGGAACCAGACGCCCUAGUUCCCAGGCUGGGUUUCCCUCCAGAUGUGUUCUCCUGCGGUGUCGGUUCCACCGUUAAACAGCUGUAUCGCUCAGCAGGUACGCAACGUUGAUGCGCCUCCAUUUCCUCCUCUGCAGAAUUGUGGGCGUUCCUGUCGUGGCUCAGCAGAAUCCGGCUUGUAUCCACGAGGAUGCGGGUUCUAUCCCUGGCCUCGCUCGGUGAAUCUGGGAUCCAGCCUUGCCGUGAGCUGUGGUGUAGGCCGGAAGCUGUAGCUCCAAUUUGACCCCUAGCCUGGAAACUUCCAUAUGCUGAGGGUUCGGCCUUAAAAACAACAACAACAACAAAAUAGUACUUACGUCAUAGGGUUGCUGUCAGCAUUAAAUGAGAGAGUCUGUUAAAAACGCCGAGAACAUUGCCUGGCAAUAUACAUUGCAGAAUACUCAAUAAAUAUUAGCUGGUGUUAUUUCAUACUUCAUCAAACACAACCUUCGUCACACAUCGCUGUGCUUCUUAUUUAAUUUGUUGACUUUCCAAAAAGACUGUAAGCUCACGUCUGCCGUGGUCUUAUCCCCAGCGUGGUGGUCUGGCAGGUGGUCAGGGGUCGAUACAGGUCUAAAUGCACCCCCGCGAGAAUGGGCGCGCUGAGGGCGGACACGAAUUUCUUCCACCUGUGACAUUUCAAAGAAUGGUUGAAACUGGUGCCUCUAUAACAUUUGAGAAGCAGACAGGAGACGCUAUUGCCAAGUGGCUACGUGCGCAGAGGGCGAAGCCAGAGGGGAUGAAUUGGAAGCCCAACUCCAACCUCAGCAGAACGUGACCGUACAUCAGCCAGCUUCUGUGCCUCUGUUUCCUCGUCUGUGAAAUGGGAAGGACGAUAAUAGCACCAACCUCGGAGGGUUUUCAGGAAGCUUGAAUGAGUUCAUGUUUGGAAGGUCGUCGGCAUCACGUAAGUGCUAGCUGCCAUCUGCGCCAUUGGUAAGGACAUGACACAAAGAAGACUUGAGAGAGGAAAAAGCCACCAUGGCUGGAAGGCAGGGCUCAGAACAGGCCUGGGGCCAGGCCAGGAGGGUCCUGCACCAUUGACCUAUGGUCCGAGUAUUUUUGGUUCACAUGGUCCAGGCCACUCUUGAGGGCAGGGGCUUGGGGGGCGGGGAUUCUAGAAGCCUGAUUUGCACUGCCCUGCCCCCCAGCUCUCAGCACAAACCCUGCCCCCAGGGAGGGAAGACGCAUCCCGGCCCAGCCCUGCUGCUCCUCGGGGGCCUGUUGAGGUCGCGGCCACUCCUCCCACCCCGCCAGCUCCCCCUGGGGACUUUGUCAUCACCACGUGGUUCAGGGACCCUCCAGACCCCCGGGGUGGCUGUCCUCUUCUCCGCUGCUGCGCCUCCAAGCCCGGGCCUCAGAGGAGCCCGGCUGCCACAGGACAGCCACCUCCUCCCUGGGCCUCACCGUCACUGACCCAAAAAUGGGUCAGAUUUGCUCAAGAUUCAUGACUUUUACAUAACGCUGCUGUUAAACACAGGUGUGCCUAAUUAAACGAUUUGAAUAAGAUGCUAAUAAAUGAACCCACUGCCUUGCGAUGGCCAAGCUCUCACUUCAGGAUCGCAACACGAGUGCAGAUACGAAUGCCUGGCUGGCGACGGGUUAAAGAAGUCGGUAUCGGCAGGGCUUUCAGGAAGGAUCCAGAGCGUGGUCCACGAGGUUCCUCAACUGAUGGGGCAGCAGGGACAGCUUCCCUCACUGGUGCCCGCUCACUGCCUGACGGGGGGCAGAGUCCAUCCAGGCAACACACAAUUUCAAAAAUGUGUUUAUCUUCUUUUUUUCUUUUUGUGGCCACACCAGUGGCCUAGGGAAGUUCCCGGGCUAGGGGUCGAAUCGGAGCUGCAGCUGCCGGCCUGCUCCACAGCCACAGCAGCUGGAAUCCGAAUCUCGUCUGUGACCCACACCACAGCUCAGGGCGACGUCGGAUCCUUAACCCACUGAGCGAGGCCGGGGAUCGAACCUGGGUCCUCAUGCACACUAGUCGGGGUCUUAACCCUCUGACUCGCAAUGGGAACUCCUAAAACGUUUUCUGACGGGGAUGCAGUCCCCCUUUAGACUGGCAUGCCGCGGCAUAAAGGCGGAAAUGCAGCUUCCUUCGUUCCACGCAGGGCCUCGCUCUCUGGACAGAGGCGGGAGGUGGGACAGGCAGACGGGAACUCUGGGCUCGUGGCGAGAUUAUCCUGGAAGAGAAGACCGUUCAAACCGCUUGAAGCCCGUUGGGAUCCAAGGUAAGCGGCUUCACAAUCAGCCAAAGAUAAAAUGUUUUGAAAAGCACUGAAACUUCCUAUAGUGAGGGGUUAACUCCGUGGAGGCAUCUGGCCGCGUGGAGAGGGGCCUGGCAAGCAGAGCUGAGCGGCGGCAGGAAGGGAAGAGGCUGCCUCCCGCCGGGGCACACAGCCCACAGGCCUCCUGCGCGUGCUGGCCAGUGAUCGGCCAGGAAGGAUGACAGCGUGGCAGCAAGAGGCCACCGCGUGCUCCGAGGGGCUUCAGAUCCCUCCGUGCCUCUUGGUUUGACCCUGGCUUCUUGACUCCUCACGUUCCCCAGCACUACCACGGACCAGACCUUCUAGGACCAACCCUAUACCUCUUCCUCCAACCUCCUCUUGGCCAUGAACUCAGAAGCCAAGGACCCCGCUGACAUCCUGCUGCGGAUGGAUGGCUCGCACCGGCUGGGACCCCAGGUUUUCCUGUUACGUGUCGCCGAAGCCUCUCACAAGCCCUGGAAACAUCAUCAGGCACAGGAAGUUCUCAGCAAGAAUCUGAUUUUGGUUCUCCGUGACUCCCCCUCAGGGAUUAGUCUUUGUAGUACAUUUCCAGAGUUCCCGCUGUGGCUCAGUUGGAAGGAACCCGACGAGUAGCCGUGAGAACACGGGUUCAAUCCCUAGCCUCGCUCAGUGGGUUAAGGAUCCAGUGCUGCUGUGAGCUGUGUGUAGCUCGGAUCUGGCAUGGCUGUGGCUGUGGCCUGGCAGCUGCAGCUCCGAUUCAACCCCUAGCCCAGGAACUUCCAUAUGUCGCAGGUGCAG